CCCACCAUUCUUCUCUCUCUGAUAUUUUCUCUCCUGUGCGGUGCUUGCUCCCUGGAACCAGCGUGCUCCAGCCGUGAUAUUUCUUCCAGCGUUGUCCUCAUCUCCCACCGUUGUUGAUGAGCAUUGAUAUUUUGUUGAUGAGCAUUGAUAUUUUUGAACUUCAUACGUGGACACCAGGCCACCAGCUCUGUUCCUAUCUCAUCGUUGAUAUUUCUGCAGCCUAAUCGCACAAGUGUGCCAGUCUAUUUCUAGCCGAGCAGCUCGCUGUGUCCUGCUUCCGUAUUUCUGCAUCGCUUCGUCAUGCUAAAGUAGCCGGUCACUAGUUCCCUUCCACGCACUCGGCCUCUGGUUUUCCUGCUCCCUCCUUGCUCCAGCCUUCUCCCAAGGUCGCCCCAUGGCGUCUUCCCCUGCUGGUUCACCGGUGCCCAGCUCACUUGGGCUGUGUGUGCUCCUGCAUCACGCUCUGCUCGCAGAAUUCCUUCGCGGCGUCCUGCAGGCCGACGCUCAGCUCUCAGCUCCUGCGCGUGUCGAACUCUUCUAUUGCGCGCGCGAAGUUCCCUGCUCGCCACGACGUGUCGAGCUUCCGCGUCGAGUUUCUCUCUUCCGUGCCGAUUGUCUUCUCCGAGCCGAUUCUUGGCUAUCGUAGUAUUUUUAAUUAUCCCGGCUGCGUCUGUGGUCGUCAAGCGUGUCUGUUACCGUGAACUCGCCCCUGGUGCCCACUUUGUCUCUGGUCCGCGCUUCCUUUAGCUCGGCCAGGCGGGGCAUCGUUUCGUACUGUGCUCGCCCAAGUCACUGCUGUCAAAUCAUCGGAGUCGCUCAACUCGCCAGUCGCAUCUUGGCCGAUUGUCAAUUUUCUAUACGUCAUGGUACCACACCGUUGUUAAAUCCAGCCUCCAACCCGCCAUGGCGUUCGUCGUCCUCUGGUCCCAGCCCGACCCAUCCGUGCGCUCGCUUUUCGUCCAUCGGGUUUCGCGCGUGCUCGCGUUUACCAUCGAGUCGUCGAACCCGUCAUCCUCUGCUCAAACCCCACCUCACCGGCUCGCUUCCAACACGAUCUCGUCAUCAAGCUUCGCCUCAGCCUUAGCUCGUCGGUCACGCUCGCCAGACGUUCGAUCAAGGACUUCAGCUGAAGGCCGUCGUCGUUCAGGCGACUACCAAAUCGAGUUGUGAUGUGGUGAGCCGAUUCGCUAUUUUUAUUAUCGGUUUUAUGAUCGUAAAAUAAGACGCUACGUAUGCGUAUACGAUUAAGUUAGAAAUACCAGUAAGGCGAGGUGUGCUUCGAGGAGUUUAGUUGCCGAAUAUAUUCGAACGAGUUCUAUUUUGUAGAAUAUAGUAUUUCGGUGACGCGUAGGUUAAAUUUAGUAUUUUAAAAUGUCUAGACAAUAAUAUUGUCAGUAUUACUAUUGACGAAUUAUAAUUGUUUGAUAAAAUUAAAUUGGUUCUUGGGAAGCAAGGUGGUAUAAUUUAUAAAGCGGGGGAUGAAUUUAGCAUUUAACCAAUUAGCUAAUGAGUUGUGUUUAGGCUGAUUAUAUUUAAUGUGUUGUUCGUAAUGUUUGCGUUAGGGUCGUUUAAUUUAGAAAACCGUGAUAAUUGGGUGUAGUCGUAUGUCGAUAACUAGUAUUUCCAAUAAGAAAUUGUACAACGCCUCGCCGCUAGGUGUUUAAUUCGCUAUCGCAAGCACUAUUUAGGUUUGCGAUAUUCCUGUCUAUAUGCAUUCAUGUGCAUAAUGCAUUUCAUUCAGGUACGUGAAUUAACCACGUGAUGUGGAGAACCAGAACUGAAUCGACCACAAGAUGGUGCUGAUGAACGGAACUGAAGAUGGACAGACGAAACAAGUAUCAGGCCAAAGGAUGCUCGCCAAGUGGUCGCCUAACAAACACUAACCUAGUGUUACCCAGGCAAGCCCCGGUGCAUGCAACCCCUUCCUUGUGUUUUUAAAUAAUUUUUGCACACUUUAAGUCUAGUGAAAUGUGCAUUAGGUUUAUAGGAGUUGCUUGAAACCCUUUGAUGCAUUGCCUUCCUUGAUAUCCAUACCUUUAUAGAUACUUCUGGUGAAGUAUCAAAAUUUGAUUUACAAAAAUGCUUAGCCCUGCUUAGAUCUUGUGGAUAGAGGAUGUCUUUUGCAAUACUGCCUAGCUCAGGGGUUAUCCUGAGGAAAGAUGGCUUCUACCUGCAAGAAUACUUUCAUUGAGAGCGUGGUGGGAUCUUACUGCAAAGCUCCCUGUGAUGCUCUUUUCAUCCUAAGGAACAAAAACAAUCCUAAGGAUGGAAGUACUUAAAUCGAGACUUGGGUUAGGAACAGGUGAUGUUCUACCCAGGUUGAUUAAGGAUUGGAUGCGUAUGUAGGCCUGCUAGCGCAAGGACUAUCUUAGCUAGCCGCAUACCCUGGAAAUGGGACAGGGUAAGCUUUGCCUCGGGCAGACUAAGGCCAGAAUAAGAUAACACGAAAUGGGCGUGGAGCGGUGGCGGGAGUAGCAUGUACCCUCCGUGGCAAGAGGCUGGACGGUGGUGUAUCUGUGCUCUCGGUUGCGUGAACCUGAUCUGGUCUUAAGAACCCUGGGGUCGAGUUGACAUAUGCAAGGAUUAAGUGCUACAUAUGUCGUGUGGUUAGAGAUCCUCAGCUGAGUAAAUCGAUUCGGAUCGCCGUUAUAUCCCCGGAGAGUGGAGACUUGAUCACUGACCUACAACCUAAGUCAGGAUGUGAACUUCAUGAAUAAAAAUGGUGUUGUAUUGAUGAGAUGAUGAAAUUAGACUAGAGGCAAACAGAGUCUAUUAAUAUUUAAUCUGGCAUUAAAAUGUUGAAAAUAAGGACUCACUUUAGUAAGCUAUUUCUGCAAAAGUUUCUAAGUUGAUUCUUGCUAAAGCCUCUCCUUGAUUCCUAUUUAUCCAGCAUACCCUUGAGAGUCUUUUCUUUAGUCGGGUAAGUCUUGCUGAGUAAUUCCAUACUCAGGGUUUUAUUCCCUGUUGUUUUUUAGGAUAUAACUUUGUGCUGCUGUGAUCGUGUUAAGUGCCGGUGGGCUCGGCCUUCUUAUAUAAGUAUACCCCGUCUUUAUCUUCUUAUUGAGGAUGGUCACUUGAGCUAGCAUAUAUUUCAAACUUAUACUUUUAUAAUCACUCCGAUAAACUAAUGUGAAAUUUUUGUAACCUGUAAAAUUUGGUAGUAAGAUUUCCGCUGCAACAAUAUUGGUGUGUGUGAUUUGUGUUACUUAAUCCCGCGGUUCUGGUUGUAAGUGGUUUAUCUGAGGUCCUUGGGGCACUCGGACGGAUCCUAUUAAGUUAUUUGGUGCACAUGCAUAGCCGUCUGAGGUCUUUGAGACAAAGACAGGUGCAUGUGGGCCCAAUAACUUGGGAGGUUCUGCCACAGCUGGUAUCGGAGCAGGAUUAAGUAUAUACGGUCACAUACGUAUUUUCAAAACAAAAGUUUUGGUUUUAGAAAACCUAUUUUCAACUAAACACAUUGUUUGGCUUUGAAAAACAGUUUUGAAAAAAAACUAUAAUGCUAGCGACAUCCUCUGUUAAGCCCUAAACUAAGGACUAUCAGGUGGCUUAGUUGAAAACCAUAACCCAUAACCAGGUGGGUAUUGCAUACAUGUGUAUUGUUAUUUUUAAGGCCAUUCAGUCUUGAAUGGAUCGACGCUCAAGGUAAGGUGAGAUGUGAGAGCAUGACCGAACAAACGUCGGUCUAGGGAAGAGUAUAAAAGGCGCUUGACUAUAUACAUGUUCUAUAUAUGUAUAUACGAAAGCUGCGAUGUGGAGUAAUUACUUUUCUAGGAAUUCAGUACCCCAUGUGUGUGUAUGGGUAUACAAACAUGGGAAUACUGAGAAGUGUAAUGUACUUGCAACGACGCACCUACGCUCAGGUAAGAAGGUGAGUUACCAUAAUGAGUUGCCCUAUGGUUAAAGUGUGGCAACGGCGCCUAUGCGUGGCUCGACGCUUAAUGAUGAGCUGGCCUCCAUAUAACAAUAUAUGGAGUAUAAACUGUGAUAAACUGUCAUGCGUGAACUGCAUCAUUGGGAAAUUGGGCUGUGAUGGAAUUUUCUGCAGGUACACUAACCUCGAAAACGUAUGUGUAGUUGACGACUAGCAAGAUACCGAGAGAGAACGUAUGCCACCGACAUAGAACGUUAUUGCCACAGUGUGUUGGCAAAAUCAGUGAGGACGAAUAGGACGAGCAUGCAUCCUGAUUGUUGCAUCAUGUUUGUCACCUAUACACCCAAAAUGCUUCUCUCAUCUUUAUUCCAACAACCAUUGAUUGUAGAUAAUGUAGUGUAAUGCGGUAUUAUGGACUUCGAUAAAAUAGCUGUCCUCCGUUCUUUAGAUAAUCUAUUUAGGUGUCAUAUGUGUUUUCCCUUGUACUGGAUGUGCCGAUAGAAGGUUGUGACCUGUUUGUUUAAACCAAAAAUUAGGCCAUGUUCUUAUUUAGUGAACCAUGCCCCAAAUUUGAAUGGUCCAUUAUCACUCCAUGACAAAGCCCAUGCAAAUAAAUGCGUAGAUAAUUUCUUUGUUGGACAUAAAUUGUGCCUAGGCUUAAACAAGAAUCUCGAGUCUAAAACCAUUCCCUUGUUUAUUGGUGCAAGCUGAUGUACCUUAACCAGUUCGCCUGUUCUUAAGGAUCGCCAUGUUGAAUUAUCAACCCAACCUAGGAAAAGUAUGUCUGACCAUUUUCUUGAAUUUGAUGCCUUUGAUUUCCCCCAUACCUAUCGAAGGCAUACCAACUUAAUCUUAUGAUUGUUUCCCCUCUGUAUCUAAUCAGAUACUAAUCCUUGACCUUGUGACCUCUGCGAUGGCAUAGAAAUAUGCUUGGGGCUGAAGUAUUAGUCUCCCAUCGUACUCCCUCACCCCCCAGUUUAGGUUAUGGCCAUGUCGUGUUCACUUCAUCGGGCCAUGAUCUAUUUGGCUCUCUACUUGUAACCAUUCUUACAGGUGGAGUCUCUUUUGAAUAUUGUCAUUCAGACUCAGUCUAUUUGUGUCGUGCGAGAUUUGUUAUUGGUUACGUCUGAUAAUGGUGUUGUGACUAAAACUGAUGGUGCCGCGACGAAACCGAGGGCCUCCUGUGGAUGCAUACACAUGGUUGCGCUACUCGGCACGCGCUGGUAUCACGGUUAGUAGUUAUAAUCCAUUAUGAGACUAUAUCAAUGUGUUAUCUUGUCACAAAUUGUUCUUACCAUGUGAGAUUCAUUAUUGGUGCUAGUUCGGUAAUGGUGUCACGAUUAACGACUUAUGGUGCCGCAGCGAAACUGAGAGCCCCUUGUGAAUGUACAUGCAAGGUUAUGCUGCUUGGCGCAUGCUGGUAUCGAAGUCUCUGGUCAUGAUCCAUUGUGGAAUUACACCUAUGUAUGAUCUUCCGUGGACUCCUCCCUUGAAACGAUUUCGGUGUUGUUUGUCGAAGUGACCAAGCAACAUCUGUCAUCUCCGUUGAAAAAAAGGGCAUACCACUUUCCUGUGUGGUCUCUUUCCUUUGAUCUUAGUAGUGACUACUUAUACAAGUUCCCUUUACGUCCUUUGUGUAAAGGUGAAGCUGUGAAGCUCUUUAGCAUUGAGAGACAGCUAAUUAGCUCUCAAAUGGAGAUUGACUUCCCCUGCUGCUGAGAUGCAGAAGUUUGUUCAUUCGCUCUCUUAUUUAAUCCAUGUAUUCCCUAACCAAGUCAGUUCAUCUCGCAUGAAGAAACGGAUGAACAACCUGACCAAAUGGAUUUCUACCCAAGUGUGUGAUUUCCUAUUAACCAAAGUGAACUCUCAACCCUUGGCUUACUGAUGGUACUGAGAGGACAUGCCCAAUAUCAAAAGUGGUUCAACAAGUUGGUUUUGACUAACUUGUAACUGCCCAGUGAACAAAGGUUGAGUUUAGAUAUCGUUUUGUCGAGUUGUCUAAACUCACUCUGGUUUAACCCACCCUAAAGAAAGCAGUUAUAAGAAUCGAGAUUAAGUUGACUAGUAACCCCCUAAUUAUCGCUCUAGUUAUGCCUCGAUCGCCUCACGUGUGUUUUCCCAGCAUAUGUGAUCAAGUCGAGCCAUGCCUAGUGCUUGAUAAAAUGGACUGGUCGUAAAGUCCGUAUCUACAGAUCUCUUCACUGGUGAUUCUCUAGAAUCUAUACCAUCUUUCGUGGACUUGAAUUCUCAGGUUAGCCACAUGUUAACCGCGACAGUAUUCGACAUCCACACUCGUCUCCUGUGCUAUCAAUUUCCUAUAACCACUUGUUGGUAAACCUCUUUCUAUGUGUUUUACCCAAGAUGGUGCAUCUGAUUCUGUUUGGGAAAAAUCGCGUAUUUACCGCUCACCCAAUAGACUCGGAUAGUACAAUGUCAUCACAAAAAGUAAACUGCACACAUGAAACCUUAUGUGUUCUUCUGGCAGACAUCGUCUCUAUUGGUGGACAUCUCUAAAUUAGCCUAAGGCGAUUCAUGUUAUGUCCACUAGAGAAACAACAUCCUGAGACACUCGCCUUUAUUUGGAACUGUCUCAUGAUUAUCGCUGAUAUGGACAUGGGUUACAUGCUUCUCUACUCUUGAAAGUCUUUCGCUCCGAAUCUCGGGACGAGAUUCUUUUAAGGGGGAGGGCUGUAACACCCCAGGUGUUUAUAUUCCGCUCGACGAUGAGUACGAAUUUAAGCACGUAAUCAGUGGAUAAAACAGAUGUUAAAUUUUAAGCAUCUUCGCCUUUCGCGAUUUUAAUAUCGCAUCUGUUUCAUCUGUCGCGAGUGCGACGUCGUUUUUAUUUUCAUCUAUCCGGGCUCGUCCUAAAUUUUCGUGAUGUUCGGAACAUCGUGGUUCCGAAAAUCGGUGCGUCCGGUGAUUAUUUAAAACUCAUCGCUCGCGCGAAUAAGAAUUCGGAACCCCGACUCACUCGGAUGAUUUUUAUCCCGGACAAAUUAAUUUGAAUCGCGCGAAACCUUGCGCGAGGUUAUGAUCCCAUUUGUUCUUCAGCCCACACUGUAGGAUAAUCAGAUCAGCUGUGUUUUGGUGACGGAUAAAUUUUUAUCUGAGUUCGACCAAACCAGUGUUGUUUUAAAUAUCGAAUCGGAUCUCGUCUGGUUUAAUCCGUCUACAUCUCGCUCCCGUGACGAUACUGACAUCGUCCCUGGAGGAAUUCCGAUUGCGAUGCCGCAUUCGGCUCGCACAUUUUAAAAUUUAUUUAUUUCUAAAGUAUCGAGCCUUGUGACAAUUUAAAAUUAAUCGAUUAAUACGAACUAAAAUUGUCACUUAAGUAUUUCGCUCGAUUCGAGCAAUUUCUAUAAAUUCGGUAAAUGCGCUAUUUGGGGCAGGCUGUUUAAAUAAACCGAAACCGGAACCAUUGCGGGCCAAAUUCGGUUUCCUGUUUCAAAAUCCAAGAAAAAUAAUAUACGUAGUCGUAUAGCGUAUUGACCCUUUAUUCGUCGCUAAAAAUCACAAUUCAAAAUAUCUAUGAAUUUUUUUUAGAAAAAAGGGGAAAUAUCUCCUCUACAGCCCUCGUUUCUCCUUACCCACCAUUCUUCUCUCUCUGAUAUUUUUCUCUCCUGUGCGGUGCUUGCUCCCUGGAACCAGCGUGCUCCAGCCGUGAUAUUUCUUCCAGCGUUGUCCUCAUCUCCCACCGUUGUUGAUGAGCAUUGAUAUUUUGUUGAUGAGCAUUGAUAUUUUUGAACUUCAUACGUGGACACCAGGCCACCAGCUCUGUUCCUAUCUCAUCGUUGAUAUUUCUGCAGCCUGAUCGCACAAGUGUGCCAGUCUAUUUCUAGCCGAGCAGCUCGCUGUGUCCUGCUUCCGUAUUUCUGCAUCGCUUCGUCAUGCUAAAGUAGCCGGUCACUAGUUCCCUUCCACGCACUCGGCCUCUGGUUUUCCUGCUCCCUCCUUGCUCCAGCCUUCUCCCAAGGUCGCCCCAUGGCGUCUUCCCCUGCUGGUUCACCGGUGCCCAGCUCACUUGGGUUGUGUGUGCUCCUGCAUCAUGCUCUGCUCGCAGAAUUCCUUCGCGGCGUCCUGCAGGCCGACGCUCAGCUCUCAGCUCCUGCGCGUGUCGAACUCUUCUAUUGCGCGCGCGAAGUUCCCUGCUCGCCACGACGUGUCGAGCUUCCGCGUCGAGUUUCUCUCUUCCGUGCCGAUUGUCUUCUCCGAGCCGAUUCUUGGCUAUCGUAGUAUUUUUAAUUAUCCCGGCUGCGUCUGUGGUCAUCAAGCGUGUCUGUUACCGUGAACUCGCCCCUGGUGCCCACUCUGUCUCUGGUCCGCGCUUCCUUUAGCUCGGCCAGGCGGGGCAUCGUUUCGUACUGUGCUCGCCCAAGUCACUGCUGUCAAAUCAUCGGAGUCGCUCAACUCGCCAGUCGCAUCUUGGCCGAUUGUCAAUUUUCUAUACGUCAUGGUACCACACCGUUGUUAAAUCCAGCCUCCAACCCGCCAUGGCGUUCGUCGUCCUCUGGUCCCAGCCCGACCCAUCCGUGCGCUCGCUUUUCGUCCAUCGGGUUUCGCGCGUGCUCGCGUUUACCAUCGAGUCGUUGAACCCGUCAUCCUCUGCUCAAACCCCACCUCACCGGCUCGCUUCCAACACGAUCUCGUCAUCAAGCUUUGCCUCAGCCUUAGCUCGUCGGUCACGCUCGCCAGACGUUCGAUCAAGGACUUCAGCUGAAGGCCGUCGUCGUUCAGGCAACUACCAAAUCGAGUUGUGAUGUGGUGAGCCGAUUCGCUAUUUUUACUAUCGGUUUUAUGAUCGUAAAAUAAGACGCUACGUAUGCGUAUACGAUUAAGUUAGAAAUACCAGUAAGGCGAGGUGUGCUUCGAGGAGUUUAGUUGCCGAAUAUAUUCGAACGAGUUCUAUUUUGUAGAAUAUAGUAUUUAGGUGACGCGUAGGUUAAAUUUAGUAUUUUAAAAUGUCUAGACAAUAAUAUUGUCAGUAUUACUAUUGACGAAUUAUAAUUGUUUGAUAAAAUUAAAUUGGUUCUUGGGAAGCAAGGUGGUAUAAUUUAUAAAGCGGGGGAUGAAUUUAGCAUUUAACCAAUUAGCUAAUGAGUUGUGUUUAGGCUGAUUAUGUUUAAUGUGUUGUUCGUAAUGUUUGCGUUAGGGUCGUUUAAUUUAGAAAACCGUGAUAAUUGGGUGUAGUCGUAUGUCGAUAACUAGUAUUUCCAAUAAGAAAUUGUACAACGCCUCGCCGCUAGGUGUUUAAUUCGCUAUCGCAAGCACUAUUUAGGUUUGCGAUAUUCCUGUCUAUAUGCAUUCAUGUGCAUAAUGCAUUUCAUUCAGGUACGUGAAUUAACCACGUGAUGUGGAGAACCAGAACUGAAUCGACCACAAGAUGGUGCUGAUGAACGGAACUGAAGAUGGACAGACGAAACAAGUAUCAGGCCAAAGGAUGCUCGCCAAGUGGUCGCCUAACAAACACUAACCUAGUGUUACCCAGGCAAGCCCCGGUGCAUGCAACCCCUUCCUUGUGUUUUUAAAUAAUUUUUGCACACUUUAAGUCUAGUGAAAUGUGCAUUAGGUUUAUAGGAGUUGCUUGAAACCCUUUGAUGCAUUGCCUUCCUUGAUAUCCAUACCUUUAUAGAUACUUCUGGUGAAGUAUCAAAAUUUGAUUUACAAAAAUGGUUAGCCCUGCUUAGAUCUUGUGGAUAGAGGAUGUCUUUUGCAAUACUGCCUAGCUCAGGGGUUAUCCUAAGGAAAGAUGGCUUCUACCUGCAAGAAUACUUUCAUUGAGAGCGUGGUGGGAUCUUACUGCAAAGCUCCCUGUGAUGCUCUUUUCAUCCUAAGGAACAAAAACAAUCCUAAGGAUGGAAGUACUUAAAUCGAGACUUGGGUUAGGAACAGGUGAUGUUCUACCCAGGUUGAUUAAGGAUUGGAUGCGUAUGUAGGCCUGCUAGCGCAAGGACUAUCUUAGCUAGCCGCAUACCCUGGAAAUGGGACAGGGUAAGCUUUGCCUCGGGCAGACUAAGGCCAGAAUAAGAUAACACGAAAUGGGCGUGGAGCGGUGGCGGGAGUAGCAUGUACCCUCCGUGGCAAGAGGCUAGACGGUGGUGUAUCUGUGCUCUCGGUUGCGUGAACCUGAUCUGGUCUUAAGAACCCUAGGGUCGAGUUGACAUAUGCAAGGAUUAAGUGCUACAUAUGUCGUGUGGUUAGAGAUCCUCAGCUGAGUAAAUCGAUUCGGAUCGCCGUUAUAUCCCCGGAGAGUGGAGACUUGAUCACUGACCUACAACCUAAGUCAGGAUGUGAACUUCAUGAAUAAAAAUGAUGUUGUAUUGAUGAGAUGAUGAAAUUAGACUAGAGGCAAACAGAGUCUAUUAAUAUUUAAUCUGGCAUUAAAAUGUUGAAAAUAAGGACUCACUUUAGUAAGCUAUUUCUGCAAAAGUAUCUAAGUUGAUUCUUGCUAAAGCCUCUCCUUGAUUCCUAUUUAUCCAGCAUACCCUUGAGAGUCUUUUCUUUAGUCGGGUAAGUCUUGCUGAGUAAUUCCAUACUCAGGGUUUUAUUCCCUGUUGUUUUUCAGGAUAUAACUUUGUGCUGCUGUGAUCGUGUUACGUGCUGGUGGGCUCGGCCUUCUUAUAUAAGUAUACCCCGUCUUUAUCUUCUUAUUGAGGAUGGUCACUUGAGCUAGCAUAUAUUUCAAACUUAUACUUUUAUAAUCACUUCGAUAAACUAAUGUGAAAUUUUUGUAACCUGUAAAAUUUGGUAGUAAGAUUUCCGCUGCAACAAUAUUGGUGUGUGUGAUUUGUGUUACUUAAUCCCGCGGUUCUGGUUGUAAGUGGUUUAUCUGAGGUCCUUGGGGCACUCGGACGGAUCCUGUUAAGUUAUUUGGUGCACAUGCAUAGCCGUCUGAGGUCUUUGAGACAAAGACAGGUGCAUGUGGGCCCAAUAACUUGGGAGGUUCUGCCACAGGGUCUGUCCUAAGGGUUAUUUUUAUUGGCAUCUACCAGUAAUAAUAGGCUUCUGUGCCAAAAAUCACAGAAAGCCAAGGGGUGGUUAUUUAGUUAUGAUUUUCUUAAGUUUAAUGUCAAAAAGGCACUUUCUACUGCAUUAUUAUUUGAAAAAUGUCAAACAGCAGAUUUUAUAUUUUUCCUAAGUUCUCAUCAAUAAAACAUUAGUUAUCCCAAGGGUGGGGGUGUUUUUACCUUGGGGUUAUUUUUGUAGGGUUUUUCUAAGUUAUCCUUAUUUUAUUAAAAUAAAAGGUAUCCUACUUAUUUUAUACUAAACCAGGG
rnacentral:lncRNA from 1 species